rnacentral:rRNA from 1 species
AUUGAACGCUGGCGGCAUGCCUUACACAUGCAAGUCGAACGGUAACAGGUCUUCGGAUGCUGACGAGUGGCGAACGGGUGAGUAAUACAUCGGAACGUGCCUAGUAGUGGGGGAUAACUACUCGAAAGAGUGGCUAAUACCGCAUGAGAUCUACGGAUGAAAGCAGGGGAUCGCAAGACCUUGUGCUACUAGAGCGGCCGAUGGCAGAUUAGGUAGUUGGUGGGAUAAAAGCUUACCAAGCCGACGAUCUGUAGCUGGUCUGAGAGGACGAUCAGCCACACUGGGACUGAGACACGGCCCAGAUUCCUACGGGAAGCAGCAGUGGGGAAUUUUGGACAAUGGGCGCAAGCCUGAUCCAGCAAUGCCGCGUGCAGGAUGAAGGCCUUCGGGUUGUAAACUGCUUUUGUACGGAACGAAAAGCCCUGGGUUAAUACCCUGGGGUCAUGACGGUACCGUAAGAAUAAGCACCGGCUAACUACGUGCCAGCCGCCGCGGUAAAAC